rnacentral:rRNA from 1 species
AUUGAACGCUGGCGGCAGGCCUAACACAUGCAAGUCGAACGAGUGGCGGACGGGUGAGUAAUGUCUGGGAAAUUGCUUGAUGGAGGGGGAUAACUAGUGGAAACGGUAGCUAAUCCCGCAUACCAUCAGAUGUGCCCAGAUGGGAUUAGCUUGUGGGUGGGGUAACGGCUCACCAAGGCGACGAUCCCUAGCUGGUCUGAGAGGGUGACCAGCCACACUGGAACUGAGACACGGUCCAGACUCCUACGUGAGGCAGCAGUGGGGAAUAUUGCACAAUGGGCGCAAGCCUGAUGCAGCCAUGCCGCGUGUAUGAAGAAGGCCUUCGGAUUGUAAAGUUCUUUCAGCGGGGAGGCGUUACCCGCAGAAGAAGCACCGGCUAACUCCGUGCCAGCAGCCGCGGUAAUUC